UAAUGAAAAAUGUUGAAAGCUAGUGUCUG
rnacentral:piRNA from 1 species